UACAGAGGGUGCAAGCGUUGUUCGGAUUUACUGGGCGUAAAGGGCGCGUAGGCGGCCACCGCAAGUCAAUUGUGAAAUCUCCGGGCUUAACUCGGAAAGGUCAACUGAUACUGCGGGGCUAGAGUGCGGAAGGGGCUACUGGAAUUCUCGGUGUAGCGGUGAAAUGCGUAGAUAUCUGGAGGAACACCGGUGGCGAAGGCGGCAUCCUGGACCGGCAUUGACGCUGAGGCGCGAAAGCCAGGGGAGCAAAGCGGG
rnacentral:rRNA from 1 species